rnacentral:rRNA from 1 species
UUUUGAUUAAUAAUUUAAAGUCUAAUCUGCCCACUGAUAAUAAAUUAAAGGGCUGCAGUAUUUUGACUGUACAAAGGUAGCAUAAUCAUUAGUCUCUUAAUUGGUGACUUGUAUGAAGGAUUUGAUGAAAUAUAUACUGUCUCUUUUUAAUUUAUAAAAUUUAAUUUUUUAGUUAAAAAGCUAAAAUGUAUUUAAAAGACGAGAAGACCCUAUAGAGUUUUAUAUUCAUGUAAAUUAAAAUUUUUUAUAAGAUUUAAAAUUUUAAUUUGCAUGAAUAUUUUGUUGGGGUGAUAGAAAAAUUAAAAUAACUUUUUUUAUAAUUUUACAUUAAUAAAUGAAUAAAUGAUCCGUAAUUUACGAUUAUAAGAUAAAAUUACCUUAGGGAUAACAGCGUAAUUUUUUUUUUUAGUUCAAAUAAGAAAAAAAGUUUGCGACCUCGAUGUUGGAUUAAGAUAAAAUUUAAAUGCAAAAGUUUAAAAUUUUUGAUCUG